rnacentral:rRNA from 1 species
GGAACUGCGAACGGCUCAUUAAAACAGUUAUAGUCUACUUGACAUUUUUAUUAUAAGGAUAACUACGGAAAAGCUGUAGCUAAUACUUGCUUUAUUAUCCUUUGAUUUUUAUCUUUGGAUAAGUAUUUGUUAGGCCUUAUAAGAAAAAAGUUAUUAACUUAAGGAAUUAUAACAAAGAAGUAACACGUAAUAAAUUUAUUUUAUUUAGUGUGUAUCAAUCGGGU